CUAUGCAUUCAGAAUGGCAUCAUCAACCAUAAUAUACAUAUAUAGCUUGACAAAUGAAUCUUAGUAUUUCACCUCAAGUAUUCAUAUACACAUAAUUAGGCCUUGACUAUCAGCGGAGGUGACUCUGGUCACAGUUGCUAACAUUUAAUGUCAUGGUAAACCUACCGAGCAAUGGAUAGGGAGGAGCACCUUGUCCUAGGAUUCAAUCACCUUUAACUCAGAAAACCUAAAACAUGAAUUUUAAAAACAUGAGUACAAACUCAGUGAGUGAACAUAGGAAGGGAACAAGCAAUGACUUGGAAUGGUUUAGAAAACAUAAUGCACUUAUUUGAAAACAAUGCCAUUUAGUUCAAGUUUUUAUUAAAAUCCCUCCAUUAAACCCUUGGUUGUAAAAUCAUUUAAUGAUGACGGAACCGUAUUCAACAUGAAAUUGGAAAGAAAGGAAAUUUCCAGCAAUUAUCCAAGUAAGGCAGUAUAAAUAGAAUGUUUCUCGUUGCAAUAAAAUCAAUUUGCAAAUAACGGCAAAUUUUCAAGAUUCAUCAUGUGCAUCUAACCCAGCUCAUGUGCUGCCACCACAUCGUGCACAUAGCUGGACAUCCCAUCUUACCUAGCUCAUGUGCAUCCGACCACAUCUUGCACAUAGUUGGACAUCACAUCUCACCCAGCUCAUGUGCAUCCCACCACAUCGUCCACAUAGUCGGACAUCCCAUCUCACCCAACUCAUGUGCAUCCCACCACAUCGUGCACAUAGCCGAAUAGUAUCACCAUCCAUCUCCCUCACCACCGUCAUCACCGGCAAGUGCACACUCACCCCGCACAUGCACGGUUGCAUUUGUCACACAAUGGUACCAUUUAUGACAUAGUAUAUAUAUAUAUAUCAACAUUGUACAAAAACAUAUGGAUUCAUCCUUUUACACAUUUCACAUAUCACAACAUCAAACAUUUUAUCAAGGGCUUGUUCCCAUGAAAUUUUAAAGCAAAAAUCGAUAAAAUUCCCAAAUGAUUCAUUGAAACACGUAAACAUUUCCCCAAAACAUUUUGAAAUUUAAGUUCACUCACCUAACAAAACUAGCACCAACAAGGUCCUAAUCCAGGUAGUCUCAAAAUACCAUUAAAACUUAUAUUUAUCAAUAAACCAUAAUAACCUCAAUUAAGUCAUAAAUUAAAUAUAAUAAUUCUAAUGAAUUUACAUUAGGCAAUCUACCCUCUAACCUAACAUUUAACCUAAGUUUCUUGUCUAAUUCACAAGCCCUUAUGGCCAACUAGUCAAAUUUAAAAUUUCGUUACUUGGAUGAGAUUGGAAGCAUGAAGAUCAACAAAUAACCUAAUCUUUCCAAGAAAAAUAAUUUGAAGAAAUUAGGGAAUAAAUCUGAAAAUAUAACCAUAAAUUCCAAAAUUCCAAAAGUUGGAAAUAUAUACCUUUCAACCUUGAAAAUCAAGAUUUGAAGCCAAAAAUCCAAGUGUUGUUGAAAGUGAAGUAGAAAUAGAAAAUAUAAGAAACAAGAAGAGAUUUUUCUUUCUCUCUCCUAAGGUUUAGAUGUGCUAGAAAUUGGGGUUAAAAGCUGCAAAUUCAGUGCCCAAGAAGUUAGGAGAAGGAAGGAUUAGGAAAAGAAAGAAAUGAAAAGAAAACAAGGUCAAAAUCCCAUGAAAAAUUUGAUUUUCAUGGAGGUGGAAUGAAAAUGGCAUUAGAUGGGUGAGGAAAAAGACAAAGUUGCUAGAAGGUUGAAG
rnacentral:lncRNA from 1 species